rfam:Listeria grayi DSM 20601 genomic scaffold SCAFFOLD2, whole genome shotgun sequence.
ACACUUUUUUAAAAGCAGUCCAGAGAGGCUGACAAAGAGUGCAAGAUAGGAGAAACGAGGCCUAAAGUGAUACCCAGGCACCGUUCUAACCAAAACUCUUUGCUGCCCUCUAGCAAAGAGUUUUUUUAUU